GAUGAACGCUGGCGGCGUGCCUAAUACAUGCAAGUCGAGCGAACAGACGAGGAGCUUGCUCCUCUGACGUUAGCGGCGGACGGGUGAGUAACACGUGGAUAACCUACCUAUAAGACUGGGAUAACUUCGGGAAACCGGAGCUAAUACCGGAUAAUAUAUUGAACCGCAUGGUUCAAUAGUGAAAGACGGUUUUGCUGUCACUUAUAGAUGGCUCCGCGCCGCAUUAGCUAGUUGGUAAGGUAACGGCUUACCAAGGCAACGAUGCGUAGCCGACCUGAGAGGGUGAUCGGCCACACGGGAACAGAGACACGGUCCAGACUCCUACGGGAGGCAGCAGUAGGGAAUCUUCCGCAAUGGGCGAAAGCCUGACGGAGCAACGCCGCGUGAGUGAUGAAGGUCUUCGGAUCGGAAAGCGCUGUUAGUAGGGAAGAACAAAUGUGUAAGUAACUAUGCACGUCUUGACGGUACCUAAUGAGAAAGCCACGGCUAACUACGUG
rnacentral:rRNA from 1 species